UACGGUGGGGGCAAGCGUUGUUCGGAAUUACUGGGCGUAAAGGGCUCGUAGGUGGCCAACUAGGUCACACGUGAAAUCCCUCGGCUUAACCGGGGAACUGCGUGUGAUACUGGAUGGCUUGAGUUUGGGAGAGGGAUGCGGAAUUCCAGGUGUAGCGGUGAAAUGCGUAGAUAUCUGGAGGAACACCGGUGGCGAAGGCGGCAUCCUGGACCAAUACUGACGCUGAGGAGCGAAAGCCAGGGGAGCAAACGGG
rnacentral:rRNA from 1 species